GACGAACGCUGGCGGCGUGCCUAAUACAUGCAAGUCGAGCGGACGGAUGGGAGCUUGCUCCCAGACCGUCAGCGGCGGACGGGUGAGUAACACGUGGGCAACCUGCCUGUAAGACAGGGAUAACUCCGGGAAACCGGGGCAAAUAACGGAUAACUCUUUCCCUCACAUGAGGGAAAGCUGAAAGAUGGCAUCUCGCUAUCACUUACAGAUGGGCCCGCGGCGCAUUAGCUAGUUGGUGAGGUAACGGCUCACCAAGGCGACGAUGCGUAGCCGACCUGAGAGGGUGAUCGGCCACACUGGAACUGAGACACGGCCCAGACUCCUACGGGAGGCAGCAGUAGGGAAUCUUCCGCAAUGGACGAAAGUCUGACGGAGCAACGCCGCGUGAGUGAUGAAGGUUUUCGGAUCGUAAAACUCUGUUGUCAGGGAAGAACAAGUACCGGAGUAACUGCCGGUACCUUGACGGUACCUGAACAGAAAGCCACGGCUAACUACGUG
rnacentral:rRNA from 1 species